rnacentral:rRNA from 1 species
GAUGAACGCUGGCGGCGUGCCUAAUACAUGCAAGUCGAGCGCUGAGGGUUGGUACUUGUACCAACUGGAUGAGCAGCGGACGGGUGAGUAACGCGUGGGGAAUCUGCCUUUGAGCGGGGGACAACAUUUGGAAACGAAUGCUAAUACCGCAUAAUAUCUUUAAACACAAGUUUUAAGAUUGAAAGAUGCAAUUGCUUCAAUUAAUGAUGGUCUCCCGUUUGCUUAGGUAGGUGGUGAAGUAAACGGCCAACAAAGCGAAGAAUCAUAGGCGGACCGAAGGGGUGAACGGCCACAAUGGGACUGGGACACGGCCCAAACCUCUUCGGGGAGCAGCAGGAGGGAAACUCUGGCAAUGGACGAAAGGCUGACCGGGCAAAGCCGCGUGAGUGAAGAAGGGUUUCGGAUCGUAAAACUCUUUUUGUAGGGGAGAACGAUAGUUAGAGUGGAAAGCUCAUAAAGUGACGGUAACUACCCAGAAAGGGACGGCUAACUACGUG